UGGGGGAAUAUUGCACAAUGGAGGAAACUCUGAUGCAGCGACGCCGCGUGAGUGAAGAAGUAAUUCGUUAUGUAAAGCUCUAUCAGCAGGGAAGAUAGUGACGGUACCUGACUAAGAAGCUCCGGCUAAAUACGUGCCAGCAGCCGCGGUAAUACGUAUGGAGCAAGCGUUAUCCGGAUUUACUGGGUGUAAAGGGUGCGUAGGCGGUCCGGUAAGUCAGCCGUGAAAAGCCCCCGCUCAACGGGGGUCGUGCGUUUGAUACUGUUGGACUGGAAUGCGGAUGCCGUGGGAGGAAUGUGUGGUGUAGCGGUGAAAUGCAUAGAUAUCACACAGAACACCGAUUGCGAAGGCAUCUCACGAAUCCGCAAUUGACGCUGAGGCACGAAAGCGCGGGUAUCGAACAGGAUUAGAUACCCUGGUAGU
rnacentral:rRNA from 1 species